rnacentral:misc_RNA from 1 species
UAAUCUUUUCCUCAUCACUUACAGUACCCUCACCAUUUCGGUGUGGAUCAGAGGGAAGUUCAUCCAUGACUUUGAAUUUGCAUUGUUCAAUGUCAUUUACAUUUUUCUUCUCAGCAACUGCAUCGUCCACUGCACCAGAACCAUUAAGUUCAUCACCACUGCGACUCACAGGCAAAGAACUAGUUUCUGGAGCAAGCUGCCCAACACUCUCACAUGAUUCCUUAGGAGCCUCAUUGUUAAAAUGAGCACCUCCAUCACCAUCACCCCCACCAUGUGCUAAAUGGUCUGACACAUUGCUGUUCACAGAGAAACCUAUUGAACAAGUAGGUUCUGUUAUGUUACAGUGACCUUGCAGCACUUGCUCAUGCAUUGAAGAAGUAGGUUGU